AGAGUUUGAUCCUGGCUCAGGAUGAACGUUAGCGGGAGGCUUAAUACAUGCAAGUCGAGCGGUAAGUUUUUAUAGCAAUAUGAAGACCUAGAGCGGCGCACGGGUGAGUAACGCGUACACGACCUGGCCUAAACUGGGGGAUAGCCUUGGGAAACUGAGAGUAAUCCCGCAUGUGAUUAUGUUACUGAUGGUGAUAUAAUUAAAGCUUCGGCGGUUUGGGAUGGGUGUGCGUCUGAUUAGCUAGUUGGUAGUGUAACGGACUACCAAGGCGAUGAUCAGUAGGGGGCGUGAGAGCGUGACCCCCCACACGGGUACUGAGACACGGACCCGACUCCUACGGGAGGCAGCAGUAAGGAAUAUUGGUCAAUGCCCGGAAGGGUGAACCAGCCAUCCCGCGUGAAGGAUGAAGGGGCUCUGCCUUGUAAACUUCUUUUGUAUGGGGCGAAAAAAGGGGAUUUAUCCUCGACUGACGGUACCAUAAGAAUAAGCACCGGCUAACUCCGUGCCAGCAGCCGCGGUAAUACGGAGGGUGCGAACGUUAUCCGGAAUCACUGGGUUUAAAGGGUGCGUAGGCUGUUUAAUAAGUCAGUGGUGAAAGGCCGUCGCUUAACGAUGGGACUGCCAUUGAUACUGUUAGACUUGAAUCAGGUUGAGGUUGGCGGAAUGUGGCAUGUAGCGGUGAAAUGCAUAGAUAUGCCAUGGAAUACCGAUUGCGAAGGCAGCUGACUGGACCUUGAUUGACGCUGAGGCACGAAAGCGUGGGUAGCGAACAGGAUUAGAUACCCCGGUAGU
rnacentral:rRNA from 1 species